UAUCCGAGAUCGAGUCAAAAUAAAGACUCACGUUGUUGGUCAAACGAACGACUUGAUAUAUUUGAUUAAACGUAUUAAUUAUAAUUUUGGAAAAAUUUGAUACAAUUUCAAUUUUUAUUUUAAUUACCCGACUAUUGCAGGUUAAUUAAUGCGACGACCUUUAACGUCGUAGCCCGACCGAAUCUUGAAAUUUAAUAAUGUAACUAAAGACGCGUCACUGCUGCCAUCUAUUGUAACGACGUCAAUUAGCAGUACUGAUGAGUCUAGCAAUUGGAUACGAGACGACAACGUUACGGAUGAUACUUAUUAAGGAUGACGCAUUCGCGAAUAUUAUUAAUUGGAAGUUGUCAGGUGGCAAAAAAAUUAAGUAAUACCACGAGAAAGGUAAAACUACGAGUAAUUGACAUCUACCUCAGCAAAACUGUUUGAAUUUAUUUAAAGGAACGACGAACCCUGUUGGGUAGGAACUAAGAGUAAGGAGUAUUUGAGUCAAUUAGCGAAUUAUCUUACGAUAGCAAAUUAAUUUGUUGAUUAACUUUAUUUGACGCUACUGACGUCAUACGAUAACAACUUAAAAUUUCGACGACCGACGUUACGUCAUUUCGGAGAACACGUACGUGCAUCGUACGUCAAGAUAAACGUGGAUGUGCAUAUUGCGAAUACAAGGUACAGAGAGACACAACCAAUCAGCGUGACAUAAGUGACGUUUUAGCCGCAAAAAAUUAUUUUACACACUGUGAAUAUUCGCGUCCAACUAGACAUUUAAUGGCCGGACAAAAUUUAUGGUGAUAAGUGCAAUAAAAGGAAAAUUAACCUACCGAAUGGUUGUCGAUGAGUUUUCUAUUGGCAUUAAAAUUAAUAAGCGUAACGAUAAACUCUAAUUAAAUAUCUGACAGGUUUAUUAAAUUAUCUUAGAAAAAAUUAUUAAUCUGAUUAUAACGCGUGUGUAGCCAUAUUUAUGCAAAGUUUAGACAGUGUACCUUAAAAAAUAUUUUCAUUCCUCCGGUCGAAUUGAAUAAUAUAGUUCAAAGAAUUGAAUAGACCGUCCCUAACAAAAGGGCGGGAGAAUUCAAAAAGUUCGACGAACAGUGACUGAUAAGUUUUUUGUUAUCAAGGAUAGAGUCUCUUACAUCAUAUUUGAAUAUUGCAUAAUCAUGGCGUCCAUCAACCAACCUAAGUAUACUGAAGUGAAUAUCGAUCAGUAUUUUCUAAAAAUCAUUAUAUUCGUCAAUACAUAUAUGUAUUAUAUUCAACUUAUCUACCACCGAUAGAACAUUUCCGCAAAAAAAAUUUUUCCAGCGAUUUUUUCCUCGUAAUUAACUCAGACUAUUCCUAUCAAUAGAAACGCUUACUUCAAAGUGUAUAUAGGGACAAACAUUGUAGACGAAUAAAAAAUAAAUAAAUAAAAAUAAUCGAUAAUUUCGUGUAUGAAAUUGAAAAAAUUUUUUUUUCAAAUUUUAAUAUACCCCCCUCCUCAUCUCUAUCGUCAAAAAAAUCAUCAGGUUAGCUGAAAAAUUAAUAUUUUACAAAGCACUGUUUAUUCGUAUGAAAAUUAUUCGAACCCAGCUGGUAUGACUUAAUCUGUUCGUUGGUCUCUAAUGCGCUCGUUCAUCAAGCUGCUUUGUACGAUCAGUGCACGACGGGCGAUGAACCUUUCGCGCCAUGUGAUUCCGUUAACAAUCGUCGAUCACAGACGUCACGCGUAACGCGAGUAAAGCUGCCAGUAUAUACGGUAGUAGAUCUAAAGUGCAAUUACUUUCGCAAUACGCUUCUCCGCCUAUGAUUUGUACGCGAUAUAUCGGACACGGUAUUAAUUCGGAAUAAAAAAAACUGCAGGCCUGGGAUGUGUUGCAGAUGCGAUGAACAUAACCUAUGCGCGUCCUUCAACCGUAGUUUAUUCAAGUGCCAAAUGAAACAUUCACCUUAAUGACAGCG